CCGAAGUACAUGAUUCCACGCUGCCAAGAAAAGCGUCUAGAGAGAGAAGUAGUGCCCGUACCGCAAACCGACACAGGUAGGUGAGGAGAGAAUCCUAAGGCCGGCGGAAGAAUUACAGUUAAGGAACUCGGCAAAUUGACCCCGUAAGUUCGCGAGAAGGGGUGCCUACGAGAGUAGGCCGCAGAGAAUAGGCCCAAGCAACUGUUUAGCAAAAACACAGGUCUCUGCUAAAGCGUAAGCUGAUGUAUAGGGGCUGACGCCUGCCCGGUGCUGGAAGGUUAAGGGGAACACUUAGCGCAAGCGAAGGUGUGAACUUAAGCCCCAGUAAACGGCGGCCGUAACUAUAACGGUCCUAAGGUAGCGAAAUUCCUUGUCAGGUAAGUUCUGACCCGCACGAAUGGCGUAAUGACUUGGGCACUGUCUCAACUGUAAAUCCGGCGAAGUUGUAGUGCGAGUGAAGAUGCUCGCUACCCGCGAUUGGACGGAAAGACCCCGUAGAGCUUUACUGUAGCUUAGCAUUGAGUUUUGGUAUUGUCUGUACAGGAUAGGUGGGAGACUAGGAAACCAGGGCGUCAGCCUUGGUGGAGUCAACCUUGGGAUACCACCCUGACAGUACUGAAAUUCUAACUGGCGGCCAUGAAUCUGGUCACAGGACAUUGUUAGGUGGGCAGUUUGACUGGGGCGGUCGCCUCCUAAAAAGUAACGGAGGCGCCCAAAGGUUCCCUCAGAACGGUCGGAAAUCGUUCGAAGAGUGCAAAGGCAGAAGGGAGCCUGACUGCGACACCCACAAGUGGAGCAGGGACGAAAGUCGGGCUUAGUGAUCCGGUGGUACCUCGUGGGAGGGCCAUCGCUCAACGGAUAAAAGCUACCUCGGGGAUAACAGGCUGAUCUCCCCCAAGAGUCCACAUCGACGGGGAGGUUUGGCACCUCGAUGUCGGCUCGUCGCAUCCUGGGGCUGAAGUAGGUCCCAAGGGUUGGGCUGUUCGCCCAUUAAAGCGGCACGCGAGCUGGGUUCAGAACGUCGUGAGACAGUUCGGUCCCUAUCCGUCGCGGGCGUAGGAAAUUUGAGAGGAGCUGUCCUUAGUACGAGAGGACCGGGAUGGACUGACCUCUGGUGUACCAGUUGUUCCGCCAGGAGCACAGCUGGGUAGCUAAGUCGGGAAUGGAUAAACGCUGAAAGCAUCUAAGCGUGAAGCCAACCUCAAGAUGAGAUUUCCCAUAGCGUAAGCUAGUAAGAUCCCUUGAAGAACACAAGGUUGAUAGGUCGGGGGUGUAAGCAUGGUAACAUGUUCAGCUGACCGAUACUAAUAGAUCGAGGGCUUGACC
rnacentral:rRNA from 1 species